UCUCCUCGCCCUUCUUGGCUGUGCAGUACAUUCAUCUCAUCGUCAUCACCUUCAUCACCAUCAGUACUGAACAGCUACAUAAUUCACGAUCUUCAUCAUUCAGGUUGUAGUAUACUUCUCUGUUUGGGAUGUUACUGUUGACAGUUUUCAAGCUCGCUGAUUCUCUCCUUGGUCAUUUCCAGUCUAUGAUGAGCCCUUCCAAGGGGCUUGGAAUGAAAUCACAUCAGAACACCUUAAUACAUCAUCAGAAUGUCUUUCCAAAUACAGAUGUCUUUAUUGGCUCCACAAGCAGAUUAACAGCAUAGUGCAGCCUGAAUUCUACCUGGGCCUUCAAGUCCUCUUCAUGGAAGAUGAAGAUCUGGCUUCACACUGUUGCUAGUAACAUCUAGGUCUCAGCUCCUGAUCACUUAUGGACAACUUCUCAAAAGAAAACAGAAGAAACAACACACACACACCCCUUUGUAAGAAAGAGUAGUAAUAUAAGUGAACUCUAAACAGAGAUUUGAUCAGCCCUGCUUCUCUCUCUCUCCCACUUCCUCCUUCCCUCCUCCCCUCCCUCUGUGUGUGAUUAUUAUCACUAGUUACGGCUUAGAUCUACAACAUCCUCCAAAGUCUAAUGUGUCAGAGGCAAGGCUUUGCAAGAUGACUGGGUUAUGUGACUCUCAUCAGUGGAUUAAUCCAUCCAUGUGUUCAGAACUGAACAUGCUGUCAGGAGGUGGAUCCUAGUUGGAGUCACACAAAGGGUGUGACUUGGAAGAGUGUAUUCUUGUACCAGCUCUUCCCUUUUUUGCUUCCUGGCCUCCAUAAGGGUAAGUAUCUUUCCUCAACAUGUCCUUCUGCUAUGCCAUUUCUGCCUUGGAGCCAGCUAAGCAUGUACUCAACCAGCUGGAUCUGUGACCCAAAGAAAGCUCUCUCUUUUAAGUUGUGAAAAUCAUGUUGUCUUACUUUUCUCUCAUUGAUGAGACAGAA